CCUUAAGACCGUGAGGAGUCCUGAUGGAGGUCUUUAACAUAAUGAUGAGAUUCACAACAGUCAAAAUAUUUUCCGCUUAGAGGACGUUCAAAACUAAUAGCCGUCUGUCGUAAUUCUGAAUACCUUUGUUAAAUUGGAGGCAAUGGGCUGAAUGACGGAUUCACAGUGGGUAACAACAUUGGAGGCUAGACAAAGCAUUUGCUGGCCCUUAGCUAAAGAAGGCAGAUUACCUGCAACAGGAGCUUGUUUCCAUCAUAGUCUUCCGUCUGCCACCUCAGCUCACUGAUUGGGCUGCAGGGGUUAGGCAGCAGAGGGAUGAGGUGUCCAAUGUCAUGAACUCUGAACUCGAGCAAGGCCAAUUCGGUGGGGGAGGUGCCCUGACCCUUCGGGAGCCUCUUCAGCGAGAGCUGAACAUCAACCUCCGCGUUGGAAUAGACGGUGAAGAACACAAAGUCCGGCUUUCGCUGGGACGACUCUCUCCUCAGGAUCAGCUGGUACAUCCUCGCCAUGUCGACAAAGUUGUCAAAGCUGCAGUAAAUGGUGAAGCGGACAAUCUCCUUCCCAUAGUGCACCUGCCUUACAGCCCAGAGGGCAUUGUGAUUGGCCAGAGUGAAGAAGUCCUGGUUCCGGGGCAUGUAGGGAAGGAUUCGACCCUUGACCAUCUCGGUGUGGUGGUACUCCCACGGUGGGUGGAGGAAACGCUCGUGGAGCUGGGAAAUCUGCUGCCCGCACUCUUCAUGGAUGAAGACAAUGAUGGCCAGAGCCGGGUGGGCAGCACUGCCGCCGCUCCUCGUCCCCCGUGGCUUUGAGGAUCCGCGCUCGGAGGCAAUGAAGAGCCGUAGCUUGGGGUUAAUCCACGUUACAAGGCUGUCAACUGCGCUCUGCAGGGCUGCCGCAUCUCCUGGGUUGGUGAUAAUGUGCAAGGUGACCAGGAAUGGAUCUGCCAUGCCCUCCAGGUCGCCUGUUCGGGGGAGAGAGCAUAAGAAGGGAAACGCGUUUGAGUCAGUGUGGCAGCAGAAUCCCACAGCACAGAAAGAGACCAUUUGGCCCAUUGUAACUGGGCUUGUUGUUUGAAAUUUGUUCCACUUGCCUGCUGCCUCCCAACACCAAUGUUUCCUUUUCAAUCUUACAUCCAUUGCCCUCAUAAAUACCGUCUCCCAUCACUCUUCCCAGCAGUGCAUUCCAGAUCGCACCAAGACUCACUGGAAUUGGUCCUGCCCUGGUAAUGCCUCUGGAGUAAUGGGAAAAGUAAUCGAUCAUUCACACUAGCUGGAUUCAAACAAGAAGAACGCCUGACCUGUGAGAUUCUUGACAGAUAGUGAACAGGGUAAAUGAAUUAAAAAUCCACUCCCAUCAGAUGCAAUCAAUGCGAACACACACAAGAGUUAAUAAAACAGGAAGGCCUGAAAGUUCAUGAUGUCCUUUCCAUUUUCUCACAGAGCUGGAAUAAGUUCUGUAUCUAAUCUCCAAUUUGGUGUUGAGAUCACAUCCUAGGUUCUCAAUACAAUAUAAAGUUGGUGCAGCAUCUAAAUACUGUAGCAGUUCCAGCAUACAGUUAUCCAAUCCACUCACCCAACAUACACUGAUAGUUCCAAUUGCAUGUAACUGUCCUGUUCCCAUUUUAUGUCCUUUUCUUUCAACCACAGAGCCCAACUACUCUUCACACAGUUACUUUCAAAGUAAAUUCUUCAGCCUCUUAACCUUGUACAAAGAGGUCUGCCCUCGCUUAUCAAGCUCUGACAUUUAAUCUUGUAUCUAUGACCUCUCAUUCUUGAGUCAGAGAGUCAUAGAGCAUGGAAACAGACACUUUGCUCCAAC